rnacentral:rRNA from 1 species
CUGGCGCAGGCCUAACACAUGCAAGUCGAGCGGUAGAGAGAAGCUUGCUUCUUCUGAGAGCGGCGGACGGGUGAGUAAUGCCUAGGAAUCUGCCUGGUAGUGGGGGAUAACGUUCGGAAACGGACGCUAAUACCGCAUACGUCCUACGGGAGAAAGCAGGGGACCUUCGGGCCUUGCGCUAUCAGAUGAGCCUAGGUCGGAUUAGCUAGUUGGUGAGGUAAUGGCUCACCAAGGCGACGAUCCGUAACUGGUCUGAGAGGAUGAUCAGUCACACUGGAACUGAGACACGGUCCAGACUCCUACGGGAGGCAGCAGUGGGGAAUAUUGGACAAUGGGCGAAAGCCUGAUCCAGCCAUGCCGCGUGUGUGAAGAAGGUCUUCGGAUUGUAAAGCACUUUAAGUUGGGAGGAAGGGUUGUAGAUUAAUACUCUGCAAUUUUGACGUUACCGACAGAAUAAGCACCGGCUAACUCUGUGCCAGCAGCCGCGGUAAUACAGAGGGUGCAAGCGUUAAUCGGAAUUACUGGGCGUAAAGCGCGCGUAGGUGGUUUGUUAAGUUGGAUGUGAAAUCCCCGGGCUCAACCUGGGAACUGCAUUCAAAACUGACUGACUAGAGUAUGGUAGAGGGUGGUGGAAUUUCCUGUGUAGCGGUGAAAUGCGUAGAUAUAGGAAGGAACACCAGUGGCGAAGGCGACCACCUGGACUAAUACUGACACUGAGGUGCGAAAGCGUGGGGAGCAAAC